CGCCUACGGGAGGCAGCAGUGGGGAAUAUUGCACAAUGGGGGGAACCCUGAUGUAGCGACGCCGCGUGAGUGAAGAAGUAUCUCGGUACGUAAAGCUCUAUCAGCAGGGAAGAAAAUGACGGUACCUGACUAAGAAGCCCCGGCUAACUACGUGCCAGCAGCCGCGGUAAUACGUAGGGGGCAAGCGUUAUCCGGAUUUACUGGGUGUAAAGGGAGCGUAGACGGCACUGCAAGUCCGGAGUGAAAGCCCAAGGCUUAACCAUGGGACUGCUCUGGAAACUGUGGAGCUUGAGUGCGGGAGGGGG
rnacentral:rRNA from 1 species